UGGGGAAUAUUGGACAAUGGGGGGAACCCUGAUCCAGCCAUGCCGCGUGUGUGAAGAAGGCCUUAUGGUUGUAAAGCACUUUAAGCGAGGAGGAGGGUACUGGUAUUAAUACUACCAGCUACUGGACGUUACUCGCAGAAUAAGCACCGGCUAACUCUGUGCCAGCAGCCGCGGUAAUACAGAGGGUGCGAGCGUUAAUCGGAUUUACUGGGCGUAAAGCGUGCGUAGGCGGCUAAUUGAGUCGGAUGUGAAAUCCCCGAGCUUAACUUGGGAAUUGCAUUCGAUACUGGCGAGCUAGAGUAGGGCAGAGGGUGGUGGAAUUUCCUGUGUAGCGGUGAAAUGCGUAGAUAUAGGAAGGAACACCAGUGGCGAAGGCGACCACCUGGGCUCAUACUGACACUGAGGUGCGAAAGCGUGGGGAGCAAACAGG
rnacentral:rRNA from 1 species